rnacentral:rRNA from 1 species
AUUGAACGCUGGCGGCAGGCCUAACACAUGCAAGUCGAGCGGCUGAACAGUGCUUGCUUCUUCUUUCAGCUGCCGACUGGUGAGUAAUUCCUAUGUAUCUCCCUGUUUUUUUUUUCUUACGUCCUUAAAUGGGCGCUCUUACCCUAUUCCUCCUUACGCCCUACGUGUGUGAUCUUCGGAUCUUACGCUCUUACAUGAUUCGAGGUCGGAUUAGCUAGUUGGUGGGUUAAAGGCCUACCAAGGCGACGAUCCGUAACUGGUCUGAGAGGAUGAUCAGUCACACUGGAACUGAGACACGGUCCAGACUACUACGGGAGGCAGCAGUGGGGAAUAUUGGACAAUGGGCGAAAGCCUGAUCCAGCCAUGCCGCGUGUGUGAAGAAGGUCUUCGGAUUGUAAAGCACUUUAAGUGGGGAAGAAAAGCAGUAAGUUAAUACCUUGCUGUUUUGACGUUACCAAAAGAAUAAGCACCGGCUAACUUCGUG